GGGGUUAUAGUUAACAAUAACAUUUGAUUUGCAUUCAAAAAGUACUAACUAAUUAGUUAAUCUCA
rnacentral:tRNA from 1 species